rnacentral:rRNA from 1 species
GCCGCUGCGACUGUUUAUUAAAAACACAGCACUCUGCAAACACGAAAGUGGACGUAUAGGGUGUGACGCCUGCCCGGUGCCGGAAGGUUAAUUGAUGGGGUUAGCGCAAGCGAAGCUCUUGAUCGAAGCCCCGGUAAACGGCGGCCGUAACUAUAACGGUCCUAAGGUAGCGAAAUUCCUUGUCGGGUAAGUUCCGACCUGCACGAAUGGCGUAACGAUGGCGGCGCUGUCUCCACCCGAGACUCAGUGAAAUUGAAAUCGCUGUGAAGAUGCAGUGUAUCCGCGGCUAGACGGAAAGACCCCGUGAACCUUUACUGUAGCUUUGCACUGGACUUUGAGCCUGCUUGUGUAGGAUAGGUGGGAGGCUUUGAAGCGUGGACGCCAGUUCGCGUGGAGCCAUCCUUGAAAUACCACCCUGGCAUGCUUGAGGUUCUAACUCUGGUCCGUGAUCCGGAUCGAGGACAGUGUAUGGUGGGCAGUUUGACUGGGGCGGUCUCCUCCUAAAGAGUAACGGAGGAGUACGAAGGUGCGCUCAGACCGGUCGGAAAUCGGUCGCAGAGUAUAAAGGCAAAAGCGCGCUUGACUGCGAGACAGACACGUCGAGCAGGUACGAAAGUAGGUCUUAGUGAUCCGGUGGUUCUGUAUGGAAGGGCCAUCGCUCAACGGAUAAAAGGUACUCCGGGGAUAACAGGCUGAUACCGCCCAAGAGUUCAUAUCGACGGCGGUGUUUGGCACCUCGAUGUCGGCUCAUCACAUCCUGGGGCUGAAGCCGGUCCCAAGGGUAUGGCUGUUCGCCAUUUAAAGUGGUACGCGAGCUGGGUUUAGAACGUCGUGAGACAGUUCGGUCCCUAUCUGCCGUGGACGUUUGAGAUUUGAGAGGGGCUGCUCCUAGUACGAGAGGACCGGAGUGGACGAACCUCUGGUGUUCCGGUUGUCACGCCAGUGGCAUUGCCGGGUAGCUAUGUUCGGAAAAGAUAACCGCUGAAAGCAUCUAAGCGGGAAACUUGCCUCAAGAUGAGAUCUCACUGGGAACUUGAUUCCCCUGAAGGGCCGUCGAAGACUACGACGUUGAUAGGCUGGGUGUGUAAGCGUUGUGAGGCGUUGAGCUAACCAGUACUAAUUGCCCGUGAGGCUUGACCAU